CUGCCGCCUGUAGGUGAGUCCGCGUCUCAUUAGCUUGUUGGUGGGGUAAAAGCCUACCAAGGCUGCGAUGGGUAGCCGGCCUGAGAGGGUGAGCGGCCACACUGGGACUGAGACACGGACCAGACUCCUACGGGAGGCAGCAGUGAGGAAUAUUGGUCAAUGGACGCAAGUCUGAACCAGCCAUGCCGCGUGCAGGAUGAAUGCCCUAUGGGUUGUAAACUGCUUUCUACAAGAAGAAACUUCCUGAUGUAUCAGACUGACGGUAUUGUAGAAUAAGCAUCGGCUACCGUGCCACGCCGCGGUAAUACGGAGGAUGCAAGCGUUAUCCGGAUUCAUUGGGUUUAAAGGGUGCGUAGGCGGGGUAGUAAGUCAGUGGUGAAAGCCUGCGGCUUAACCGUAGAAUUGCCAUUGAUACUGCUAUUCUUGAGUGCAGUUGAGGUAGGCGGAAUGUGUAAUGUAGCGGUGAAAUGCUUAGAUAUUACACAGAACACCGAUUGCGUAGGCAGCUUACUAAACUGUAACUGACGCUGAGGCACGAAAGCGUGGGGAGCGAACAGGAUUAGAUACCCUGGUAGUCCACGCUGUAAACUAUGAUCACUCGCUGUUGGCGAUACAUUGUCAGCGGCUGAGCGAAAGCAUUAAGUGAUCCACCUGG
rnacentral:rRNA from 1 species